CAUCAUCGUCCCUUGGAUCUGCCGAAUCCAUUCGCGGUCCCCAGCAGAGGGAACAGGCGGUGAUG
rfam:Brugia malayi bZIP transcription factor family protein (Bma-xbp-1), partial mRNA